GGCUGGGUAGCUCAGUUGGUAGAGCAGAGGACUGAAAAUCCUUGUGUCGGCGGUUCAAUUCCGCCCCCAGCCACCA
rnacentral:tRNA from 2 species